ACGGCUCCAGAGAGACUGCAGGAGGAGCAGAGGAUGAUGUCCAUUACUCGACCAUCUGGCCCAUGGCUCCAGAGAGACUGCAGGAGCUCAGGGGGACAACAUCUAACAAGACGCUGCUGCAAAAAGUUCUCCUGACCAGCCAGAGGGGGAGCCCUCUGUGAUCUACAGCAGUGUUCAGAAGAGAGUGUGAAGAAAACAAUGAAGAGCCAGCCAUGAGCAAACACAGUGAAGGGGAUGCCACCAGAUCUUUAUUUUAUGCAGUGCUGAAUCUGUAGUCCUAUAGUUCAGAUCUUUAUCUUAUGCAGUGCUGAAUCUGUAGUCCUAUAGUUUAGAUCUUUAUCUUAUGCAGUGCUGAAUCUGUAGUCCUAUAGUUUAGAUCUUUAUCUUAUGCAGUGCUGAAUCUGUAUUCCUAUAGUUCAGAUCUGUAUCUUAUGCAGUGCUGAAUCUGUAUUCCUAUAGUUUAGAUCUUUAUCUUAUGCAGUGCUGAAUCUAUAGUUUAGAGAUUAUAACACCAUGUGUUUUAGUUUUAAACGUCCAAAUGCUUCAAUGCAAUAUGUUGUCUGUAAGCAUUUGCUUCAUUAAAAGUGCAGUUUGGAGAUUUUAGGUUCAGGUUUCAGUAGAAAUGGAAUAUAGUAUUCAUAAUAAUGUUUUAUUAGUGUAGAAUCACCUGUAUUCACCAAAUCAUUGUGUUUUCAUUAGCUUACAAUG